CGUCGUUUGUUCUCUGUCUUCGUUCUCCUCGAGCUCUGUCGUUGCUUCCGAGUUCUUGAAAUUUUCUUUACGGAACUUUGUAUGCUUCCUCAAAGAAAAUAGGAAUCAGUGCCAUUUAAUACGCGAGAGGACCACUCUCAGCCACUCCUUGUCGCCUCUCUGCUUUGUCUCCGAGAAAAGAGGGAGCCGCUUCGGAAGGGUAAAACCUUAAUAUCAUGUGAAUUCUUCCUUGAUUUCUGGAGAUCUUUGUCUAUUUUCAUGUUUUCUUCGUUUAUCUGGUUGCUGAUCGUGUAUCUGACCGGGUUGAUCGGGUCCUGUGUCUUCCAUUUCGCUAUUUUCGAGUCGCUUUAAAGAUAUUUUCAAGUGUGUUCUCUACUAAAUUAUGGAUCGAUGUGAUCUUUGAUUAAGCAAUCCGUUAGACAGAUAUCUGUUCUUGUUUCCAGAUCGGUAUCAUUCUUGUCUUUUUCGUGUUCAUUUUCUGAUCGAUCUAGCGCUGGGAAUCUUGUUUUAGAGACGGAUAUGGUGGGUAUAAGGGUUGGUUGUUUGUCAUGAAAACUGUUAGAUCAGGUAGAUCUGCAAUGGUUUUAGGGGUGGCCUUGUUCUAUAUGCUUGAUUUUCUUUACGGACCUUUGUAUGCAUCCUAAGAAAAAAGAGGAAUCACUGCCAUUUAAUACGCGAGAGGACCUCUCUGUCAUCCCGUUCUUGCGUUUCUGUCGCCUCUCUCCUUUGUCUCCGAGAAAUGAGGGUGUCGCUUCGGAAGGGUAAAACCUUAAUCUCAUAUGAAUUCUUCCUUGAUUUAUGGAGAUCUUUGUCUAUUUUCAUGUUUUCUUCGUUUAUCUGGUUGCUGAUCGUGUACCUGAGCGGAUCGAUUGAGUCCUGUGUCUAUCAUUUCGCUAUUUUCGAGUCGAUUUGAAGACAUUUAGAAGUGUGUUCUCUACUAAAUUAUGGAUCGGUGUGUCUUUGAUCAAGCAAUCCGUUAGAUAUCUGUUCUUGUUUUCAGAUCGGUAUCAUUCUCUUCUUUUUCGUGUUUAUUUUUUGAUUGAUCUAGCGCUGGGAAUCUUGUUUUAGAGACGGAUAUGGUGGGUAUAAGCUUUGGUUGUUUGAAGUGGAAACCGUUAGAUCAGGUAGAUCUGCAACGGUUUUAGGGGCGGCCUUGUUCUUGAUGCUUGAUUUAGUAUAUUAAUCGCAUCUGAUGUCCUUUUUUAUAUGGACUGUAGGCUGUUUCAUGGUUCUUGUUUGCAAAUUUGGUCCCUGAUAGCUUUCGAGGUGGUAGACAUCUCAGAUUAGCUUGGGGAUUUUAGACCUUGGAGCUUGUAGCUUCUCUAAUCAGAUACGUUUAUUGAUCUAUGACUUGCAGUUUUUUAUGUGGCUAAAUUUAUAGUACAUAGUUUAUAUAUAUGUUUGCUCUCUUUUAUGGAGUUAUUUAAACUAUUCCAUUGGAAUCGUCUGUUUUAUUUAUAGAAACCCAUGGUGGUAAGGUUUAUGAUCUAUUAAGCUCUGUAUUUUGUGUGAUGAAGCUUUAAGGUUAUUUUGACCGUUGAAAUUGUUAACUGUUGUAUUUUAUAUUCUUGGUCAUCUGCAAUUCUUCAUGAUGAGGUAUUCAAUUUGGUAAAUGUUUCAUUUGUUUGUGGUUGUUUGCUUUCAUCUUUUCUUGUAUUGAUUAUUUAUUGUAUUUUUUGUGAUUCUUUGUAGCACAAAUGUCUGCACAUUUUCUUUAUAUAAAAGUACCAGCCUUGUAGGUUUUUCUCAUAAAAAUUGUUCAGUUUUGCAAUUCUCAUGACAUAUCCCAAUUAUCACAUUUUUUAAUUCUCAUAAUCUUAAACAUUAAUGCCUCUUUUUUAGUCUAUUUUUAGUUAAUUAUGGUAUGGUCAGACAAAACUACUUGUAUACAGUUAAUCUAUUUUUUAGUCUAUUUGUAGUCUAUUUUUUAGUCUAUUUUUAGUCUGUUGGUCAAACAAAACAUUAAUGCCUCUUUUUUAGUCUAUUUUUAAUCUAUUUUUCAUGGACGAGGCGGAGGUGAGUUUUCUCUUGUUGCAUCGGUCUUCGAUGAUGAUUGCAUGCUUUUGCUUGCUUCCAUCCUUAUUGUCAUCGUUCCAUCAUAAGUUCUUGAUCCUUGGUCCAAAGAUGGUUCGGUACAGGGAUUCUUUGUGAAAGAUUCUUAUGGUCUAUUUCAUGACCACCCCUUCCUCGAUGGUGGCGAAAACCUAGCCGUAGACACCAUCAUCAGCUUAGCUUCCUUGGUAGAGGCUAAAAACAAAGGUGGCGAUCAACAAGGAGGGUUUUCUAUAGUUGCAUCGAUGGUGAUCUCUUGCUUUUGCUUGUUUCCUACCCUAUGGUGGCCAUUCUAUCGCAAAUUCUUGAUCCUUGGUGCAGAGAAGUGUCGGUACAAGGAUCCUUUUGAAUCGAUUCGUUUGGUCACAGAUUUUCAUAGCAAGCUCUGCUGCUGCCUAGCUUACAAUGAAGAUGGCAAUUGAUGAGGAGGUUUUUUUCUCUCAUUAGGCCGGUGAUGCUUUGUCUUUCUUCCAGCCCUAUCAUUGCUGUUUGAUCACAGAUUCUUGAUCUCUUGGUCCAGAGGAAAAGAGUCAGUAGGUUGGUUCUUUGGGAUAUGGAGUGUUCAUUUGCCACAUGAUGGAUUUCUGCCCAUUGGCAAGGAAACCUUCUGUCAAUGGCAUAAUUGCAUUGAUAAAGGAACCUGAGGUGGAGUAGAUUAUUUGGUCAUAGUGUGUUGCUAUGAUCGUGCUGUUUGUGCUUCUUAUGGAUGUAGAAGAGAUAAUUGGAUUGGUUGCCAAUAAGUGGCUGAGAAAGUUUAUUCAUUAGUGUUUGAUAAAUCCAGCUAAUCUGUUUGUAAUACUAUGAUCAGCUUAGUGAGUGUGGGAAGUUCUUUAUGGCAAGCUAAGGAGGGCACUGACCACAGCCAGUAAAUCAAUGUGAUAUUUAUUCAGGAUCAAAUGACAAGGAUGAGCUCUGGUAUUUAUUAGCAUCAAUGUCAUCAUGGAAGGUGGCAUCUUUUAUUACAAUAUGCAGAUCAAAUGACAAGGAUGAGCUCUGGUAUUUAUUAGCAUCAAUGUCAUCAUGGAAGGUGGCAUCUUUUAUUACAAUAUGCAGUAAGCCAACUCUGUUUUUGACAGAAGACCUUGUCCUUUCCAAAUUGGAUUAGUUCUUCCUGAAUAAUGUCGUUUUAGCUUAUCUAUAUUGAGAUAUUUUUGCAAAAGUGUAUAAUUUGGUAAUUUUAUUCAAAGUUGGUCUUUAUGUUCUUUUAGAACUUCACUCAUGUUGAAGUAUGUACAAAAUUUGCUGCUAUUUUAACUUCGUAUCCAAAAUUUGCCGUUAUUUUCCAAAAUUGUUGUAGCCUACUUUUUAAUACUCCGUGAGUCUACAAACCAUGUUCUUGUAUGGUAAUUAAACUGGUAUAAUACAAUUGCCUUCACAUGAGAAAUUUUAGAGUUUUUAGCACAGAAGUCCUAUUCAUGUGAGAUUUUCAGCAAGAAUUUAUUGAACAUGACAUCUAGAUCCUUCCUAGAAUUAUUUUUGUGCAUAUUUUUUUUGUAGGUAGUAGAUCCUUUACUAGAAAACUACUUCAUCUCAUGAAUCUGCAAUUUAAACCUGCAUUUGUCUUAUGAACAUGAUCCUUUAUUCUCUUUUCAUGUUGGCCAGGUGGACAUUUGUGUUGGUUACCAUUUAUUUUUUGUUAUGUCCUUAAACUUUGAACAUUUCUCCACUAGGCAUUAUGAUUUAUUCUUCUUAUUGUAUUUCUUAUGUGCAUAAUAUUUUAGUCUAGAACAUGUGUUUUUUCCUUAACAUAGGCAUUCCAAGUGCUCUUAAAUCAAUUUAAAAGUUCUUUGCUGAGUACUCACAUAUGAAACUAUGCUUACAACUCAGCUCAUAAAUGAAAGUAUAGCUGGUGGUCCAUCCUCGAUGGAGGAGUGUCACUAGCAAUCACCAAGGUCACAUCUCCAAGAAGCUUGAGGAAGCAACCAAUAUUUGAUUGCUUCCUUAGGGUUUGCUAGGGAUGAGUUGAAUUUGGAGAUGUUUAAUCUUUAACCAUAUGAUUUGAUGAUCUUACAGUACAAAUAUUUAACCAUAGAAGUUGGAGAUGUUUGAUCUUGGCUGGAAGAUGCUAAGGCAAAGAAAGGGGGAAGAGGAAAGGGGGAUAUGUUGCCAGCGAUAGUGGGUGUGACAACAAUUUCUGUAGAGGAGAAAGUGCAGCGGCUUCUGGGAAAGGGAGAAGAGGGAAGAAAGAGAGAGGGGGUUACCA